ensembl:snRNA U2 U2 spliceosomal RNA
AUCGCUUCUCGGCCUUUUGGCUAAGAUCAAGUGUAGUAUCUGUUCUUAUCAGUUUCUUGCCUGCCAAAACUCCAUUGAAAGACUCCUA